rnacentral:rRNA from 1 species
GACGAACGCUGGCGGCGUGCCUAAUACAUGCAAGUCGAGCGAAUCAAUAGGAGCUUGCUCCUGUUGGUUAGCGGCGGACGGGUGAGUAACACGUGGGCAACCUGCCUGUAAGACUGGGAUAACACCGGGAAACCGGUGCUAAUACCGGAUAAUCCUUUUCCUCUCAUGAGGAAAAGCUGAAAGUCGGUUUCGGCUGACAAUUACAGAUGGGCCCGUGGCGCAUUAGCUAGUUGGUGAAGUAACGGCUCACCAAGGCGACGAUGCGUAGCCGACCGGGGAGGGUGGUCAGCCACACUGGGACUGAGACACGGCCCAGACUCCUACGGGAGGCAGCAGUAGGGAAUCUUCCACAAUGGACGAAAGUCUGAUGGAGCAACGCCGCGUGAGCGAUGAAGGCCUUCGGGUCGUAAAGCUCUGUUGUUAGGGAAGAACAAGUAUCGGAGUAACUGCCGGUACCUUGACGGUACCUAACCAGAAAGCCACGGCUAACUACGUGCCAGCCGCCGCAGUAAGAC